rnacentral:tRNA from 1 species
GGUCGGUUAGCUCAGUUGGAAGAGCGCCACGUUGACAUCGUGGAGGUCGUUGGUUCGAGCCCAAUAUCGACUACCA